rnacentral:rRNA from 1 species
UACGGAGGGUGCAAGCGUUGUUCGGAAUUACUGGGCGUAAAGGGCGUGUAGGCGGUUGUGUAAGUCAGACGUGAAAUCCUUUGGCUCAACUGAAGAACUGCGUCUGAAACUGCAUGACUAGAGUGCAGAAGAGGGAAACGGAAUUCCUGGUGUAGAGGUGAAAUUCGUAGGUAUCAGGAGGAACACCGGUGGCGAAGGCGGUUUCCUGGUCUGACACUGACGCUGAGGCGCGAAAGCGUGGGGAGCAAACAGG